GGAUGGACGCACCGCUGGUGUACCAGUUGUCCCGCCAGGGGCACCGCUGGGUAGCUAUGUGCGGACGGGAUAAGCGCUGAAAGCAUCUAAGCGUGAAGCCCCCCUCAAGAUGAGAUUUCCCACCGCGCAAAGCGGGUAAGAUCCCUCGAAGAUGACGAGGUCGAUAGGUCCGAGGUGGAAGCGUGGCGACACGUGGAGCUGACGGAUACUAAUCGAUCGAGGGCUUGACCUAUAA
rnacentral:rRNA from 1 species